rnacentral:rRNA from 1 species
UGGGUUUAGACCCACGGCGAACGGGUGAGUAAUACCUAGGAAUGUCCUUUAAGUUGAGCAUAAUCCACCGAAAGGUGGAAUAAUACUCGAUGUGAUCGCAAGAUUAAAGUCGCAAGACGCUUAAAGCGCAGCCUGGGCACCAUCAGCUAGUUGGUAAGGUAAUGGCUUACCAAGGCUAUGACGGUUAGGGGCCCCGAGAGGGGAGACCUCCACACUGGAACUGCGACACGGUCCAG